rnacentral:lncRNA from 1 species
CGCCAAAAAUGCGUGUUUAUGCCAAAAAAAUAGAUUGGCAUGGGCUCGCUGUCUGUGCCAGCACAGUCUGGCACAGGAACGGGGAUGGAUGGAGCCCCUGUGUCCUGGGUUGGGACUGGAGGGACCCCUGUGCCCAGGGAUGGACAGACCCCCUGUGUCCAUGGAAAGGAUGGACAGACUCCCUGUGCCCAGGGAUGGACAGACCCCUGUGUCCAGGGAUGGACAGACCCCCUGUGUCCAGGGAUGGACAGACCCCCUGUGUCCAGGGAUGGACAGACCCCUGUGCCCAGGGAUGGACAGACCCCCUGUGCCCAGGGAUGGACAGACUCCUGUGCCCAGGGAUGGACAGACUCCCUGUGCCCAGGGAUGGACAGACCCCCUGUGCCCAGGGAUGGACAGACUCCCUGUCCAUGGAAAGGAUGGACAGACCCCCUGUGUCCAGGGAUGGACAGACCCCCUGUCCAUGGAAAGGAUGGACAGACUCCCUGUCCAUGGAAAGGAUGGACAGACCCCCUGUGUCCAUGGAUGGACAGACCCCCUGUGUCCAUGGAAAGGAUGGACAGACCCCCUGUCCAUGGACAGGACGGACAGACUCCCUGUCCAUGGACAGGAUGGACAGACCCCCUGUGUCCAUGGACAGGGAUGGACAGACCCCCUGUGUCCAUGGAUGGACAGACUCCCUGUGUCCAGGGAUGGACAGACCCCCUGUGUCCAUGGAAAGGAUGGACAGACUCCCUGUCCAAGGAAAGGAUGGACAGACUCCCUGUCCAUGGACAGGACGGACAGACUCCCUGUGCCCAAGGAUGGACAGACUCCCUGUCCAUGCACAGGACGGACAGACUCCCUGUCCAUGGAAAGGAUGGACAGACUCCCUGUCCAUGCACAGGACGGACAGACUCCCUGUCCAUGGAAAGGAUGGACAGACUCCCUGUCCAUGGACAGGACGGACAGACUCCUGUGUCUUUCCAAGCAGGAAUUACAAAGCCCUGCAG